CUUUGUAUAUAGAGCGCAACUGUGACUGCUGACUUUUUCCGCCUUGAUAACGCAAGUAUUUUUCCCAUUUAUUUUCUCUAUCAUUCACAACGUUCGACUGAUGCAAAAAAGUGUUUAAAAAUUGGUUAAAAAACACCUGUGUUCUCAAAUUCUGUUAAACUAAUCAAUCCAUGAAUAUUUGUGAAUUAUAUAAAUGUUCAAAUAAACAAAAAAAAAAAUAGACAGUCAGUAUUAAAAUAAAAUAUUGACUAUAUAUCAUUGGUUUCAUCUAUAAAUAAAGUAAAAAUAUUGACUAUACAUUUAAAAAAGCAUUUUCACUCAUAAAUUCCUAGUAAAUUUCUCAAUUAAAAAGAAACCACAUAUAAUACAUUAAAUGUGGCAUUCUGAAGUAGAAAAACUAAAAAUGGUAUUUUCUUAUCAAAUUUGCUCCAAAAACCUUUAUUUACAACUUGGAGAAAAAAAAAAUUGCAGUGAUAUAAAUCAUUUGGCUGUAUGUAUAAAUAAAAAUAGAAUUAAAUAAAACAAAAAAUAUUGACUAUACUUUGAACAAAUUUGGUGUAUAAACAAUUUUCAUUUAGAAAUUGCUCGUAUAGUUAGCAAACAUUUAUAAAGAAACCGCAAGUAACACAUUAAAUUAAACGUGAACUUUUGACAGAAAAACUGGAAAGUGUUUUUCUUGUAAAAUAAUUUUUAUUUUUUUUUUAUUUUUUUUUUGCAGUGAAAUAAAUCACUCGAUGUAUUUAGAAAUAAAAUCAAGUAAAAUAAAAUAUUGAAUAAAAAUUAUUGGCUCUAUUUAUAAAUAAAAAUAUUUGCUAUACAUGGAAAUAAAUUAACUCAGAAAUUGCUAAAACACAAAUUACAAACCGUUAAAACAAAACAAACAAACAAUGAUAAGUAACACAAACAGAUUUCAGAAGUCAUUUGCAGUGCAUCAUGGGACUGAGUGGUCGCUUUUAAUCCGUUUCGUUGUGAUUCCCAUUUCCUUUCCAGCGACUUUCAUUGAAUCUUUGUACAUCUGGUGUAGGAUUUAGCAAUUGAACUGAAUGAUUUUUAAAAAUAAAUCCACAGAAGCACACAUGAUCACUUAACAACCUUCGUUGGAGAAAAUGAAUGUGAUUUCUCUGGUAGAGGUCUACUGUUGCGCUCUUUGGCUUGUUAAAUGAACCGCUCUGUUGUGUUCUACUGUCUCUGGAGAUGUUGUCCUCUUUUUCAUUACUGUAGGAGAAGUUCUACUGUCAACCAGUGAUUUUAAGCAACUAUAUCAUACUGUGUAUAUUUGAUGUAUUUGAAUGUAGGCAAUAUCUUGAAAACGCUUGAGGAUUUCUAUCAACAACAACAACAAAAUCUUAUUCAUUAGGUAGCAAGAAUAUGGAAAGAGAAAGCAUUAACCUACCUUUAAUAAAACUAUCUUGACCAAAGAAUUGGAUCCAGCGUCUAUUUUUGUCCUAUGAACUGAUCUUUGACAGACAGAUGAUGGGUUUGUGUUGUAUAACCUCAUACAGCAGCUGAAAGAUACACAUCAUUUACUUAGAUCUGGCAUAGAUCUGUGUAAAGUCUUGCAAGAAACUCAAUAAUACUUGACUCUACAUUUCAGUAUUUGUUUAUUUUGAAAAUUCAUCCAAACUACAUCUGAUUGGAUAUUUUGUCAAAGGUCUAAACAAUGCGAAGACCAAUCCAAUUUAGUAUGCAAAUGCAAUGCAAUUGUUGCAUUUAAUCUUGCAAUGUUAGAUUUAUUUGUUUAUUUUAAUCUUCCAAGAUUCAAGCUUUAAUUUCUCAUUUCUUUAAGCAUAAUGCUGAUAUUAACCAAAUGUCAUUAGAUUCAGUGUCACUCUGUCGUUCACUGUUGCUUAUUUUCUGCAUGAUGAUGCAGGAUCAGCAGCUUAAGAAUGAUCUGAUUUAUAAUUAUAAUUGCUUUUGAAUGAUGUCAGGACAGCAAAAUACAUCAGGCAAUGAUGCUUUAAAGGGAUACUCCACCCCAAAAUGAAAAUUUUGUCAUUAAUCACUUACCUCCAUGUCGUUCCAAACACAUAAAAUUUUCAUUCGUCUUCGGAACACAAUUUAAGAUAUUUUGGAUGAAAACCGGGAGGCCUGUGACUGUCCCAUAGACUGCCAAGUAAAAUACACUGACAAGGUUCAUAAAAGUAUGAAAGAGAUCAUCAGAAUAGUCCAUCUGCCAUCAGUGAUUCUAACCGUAACGUUAUGAAGCGACGACUUUAUUGACAUUUUUAGACAUUUUUAUGUGGCAGUACAACAAAUAUAAUCAUUAUUAUU
rnacentral:lncRNA from 1 species